rnacentral:tRNA from 1 species
GGGGCUGUAGCUCAGCUGGGAGAGCGCUUCGCUGGCAGCGAAGAGGUCGGGGGUUCAAUCCCCCCCAGCUCCACCA